GAUGAACGCUGGCGGCGUGCCUAAUACAUGCAAGUCGAGCGAACGGACGAGAAGCUUGCUUCUCUGAUGUUAGCGGCGGACGGGUGAGUAACACGUGGAUAACCUACCUAUAAGACUGGGAUAACUUCGGGAAACCGGAGCUAAUACCGGAUAAUAUUUUGAACCGCAUGGUUCAAAAGUGAAAGACGGUCUUGCUGUCACUUAUAGAUGGAUCCGCGCUGCAUUAGCUAGUUGGUAAGGUAACGGCUUACCAAGGCAACGAUGCAUAGCCGACCUGAGAGGGUGAUCGGCCACACUGGAACUGAGACACGGUCCAGACUCCUACGGGAGGCAGCAGUAGGGAAUCUUCCGCAAUGGGCGAAAGCCUGACGGAGCAACGCCGCGUGAGUGAUGAAGGUCUUCGGAUCGUAAAACUCUGUUAUUAGGGAAGAACAUAUGUGUAAGUAACUGUGCACAUCUUGACGGUACCUAAUCAGAAAGCCACGGCUAACUACGUGCCAGCAGCCGCGGUAAUACGUAGGUGGCAAGCGUUAUCCGGAAUUAUUGGGCGUAAAGCGCGCGUAGGCGGUUUUUUAAGUCUGAUGUGAAAGCCCACGGCUCAACCGUGGAGGGUCAUUGGAAACUGGAAAACUUGAGUGCAGAAGAGGAAAGUGGAAUUCCAUGUGUAGCGGUGAAAUGCGCAGAGAUAUGGAGGAACACCAGUGGCGAAGGCGACUUUCUGGUCUGUAACUGACGCUGAUGUGCGAAAGCGUGGGGAUCAAACAGGAUUAGAUACCCUGGUAGUCCACGCCGUAAACGAUGAGUGCUAAGUGUUAGGGGGUUUCCGCCCCUUAGUGCUGCAGCUAACGCAUUAAGCACUCCGCCUGGGGAGUACGACCGCAAGGCUGAAACUCAAAGGAAUUGACGGGGACCCGCACAAGCGGUGGAGCAUGUGGUUUAAUUCGAAGCAACGCGAAGAACCUUACCAAAUCUUGACAUCCUUUGACAACUCUAGAGAUAGAGCUUUCCCCUUCGGGGGACAAAGUGACAGGUGGUGCAUGGUUGUCGUCAGCUCGUGUCGUGAGAUGUUGGGUUAAGUCCCGCAACGAGCGCAACCCUUAAGCUUAGUUGCCAUCAUUAAGUUGGGCACUCUAAGUUGACUGCCGGUGACAAACCGGAGGAAGGUGGGGAUGACGUCAAAUCAUCAUGCCCCUUAUGAUUUGGGCUACACACGUGCUACAAUGGACAAUACAAAGGGCAGCGAAACCGCGAGGUCAAGCAAAUCCCAUAAAGUUGUUCUCAGUUCGGAUUGUAGUCUGCAACUCGACUACAUGAAGCUGGAAUCGCUAGUAAUCGUAGAUCAGCAUGCUACGGUGAAUACGUUCCCGGGUCU
rnacentral:rRNA from 1 species